CCUGUGACUUCUGGGCACCUAACGCUACCGCGGGGCCUAGGGGAGGCGUUUGUGACUAGAGGCUUAAGUCUGGGGACCCCGCGCAGAGGCCUCCGGACUGCGGCAUUUCACUGCCACCCGCUUCCUCCUCCCUCGCGCGUCUGCGAGUCCAGCUCCAGCCCCGAUCACCCCCCUCCCCGCGAGCAGCUCUGCCUCCGAGGUAGCUCGGCCCACGCGUGGCGCCCGCUGUCGCCCUGGGGAUGAGGCUGGAGGCUCCCGGCCUUAGCGCUUCAAGCGCCAGAGCAGCUCGGCCGCAGCUGCCGAGCCAGAGAUUUUGAAGAGCACAAGCGGCGGCUCCAAUGAAACCGGCUUGGGUUGAGCUCUUCUGUCGGGCUGUUUGCAAACCUAAUCCUGGCAGGGCCAGGGCUAGGACUCAUGUGUCACUGCUCCCCGUUCAGUGAGGAAAUCUUUCAGUGGCUAUGGAGGUCGUCCUCGUAUUUAGAAACAGAGCUGCGACCUCGUCUCCUGGAGUCUGAGGAUCCUCUGUCUCCUUCUCGCUGGCUUUCUAUCAGCUCAGAUCUGAAGCAAGAAUAUCAAAACAUACACCCUAAAAAGAGAGUAAUUUCAGUAUCAGUUUGUUACAUACAACACUGAAACAAAACAAAGCAGUACUAUAUUGCAGGCAAUUGUGCAGAGCCAAGUUUAACUUGAAGAUAUAAAAAUUCUACAUUUGGAAAAAAA